AGGGUUUGAUCCUGGCUCAGAGUGAACGUUGGCGGCAUGGAUGAGGCAUGCAAGUCAAGCGGUAAGGCCCCUUCGGGAGUACACGAGCGGCGAAAGGGUGAGUAAUGAAUGGUUAACGUACCCUCGAGCGGGGAAUAACCUCGGGAAACCGGGGCUAAUGCCGCAUAAGACCACAGUGUCGCAUGACACAGGGGUCAAAGGGGGCCUUCGGGCUCUCACUUGAGGAGCGGAUCAUUUGGUAUCAGCUUGUUGGUGAGGUAAUGGCUCACCAAGGCUACGACGCCUAGCCGGUCUGAGAGGAUGGUCGGCCACACCGGGACUGAGACACUGCCCGGACACCUAUGGGUGGCUGCAGUCGAGAAUCAUUGUCAAUGCGCGAAAGCGUGAACGUGCGAUGCCGCGUGUGGGAAGAAGGCGUUAUGCGUUGUAAACCACUGUCAGGGGGUAUGAAUAAGGUUCGGUUAAUACCCGUACCGAUGACGUAAACCCCAGAGGAAGUCGCAGCUAACUACGUGCCAGCAGCUGCGGUAAUACGUAGGCGGCGAACGUUACUCGGAAUCACUGGGCUUAGAGGGCGUGUAGGCGGCUGGUUAAGUGGGAGUUGAAAUACGGCGGCUCAAUCGUCGAACUGGUUCCCAUACUGAUUAGCUGGAGUCGCGGAGGGGGUGCUGGAACUCGUGGUGGAGCGGUGGAAUGCGCAGAGAUCACGAGGAACACCGAUGGCGAAGGCAGGCACCUGGCCGAUGACUGACGCUGAGGCGCGAAAGCUAGGGGAGCAAACAGGAUUAGAUACCCUGGUAGUCCUAGCCGUAAACGAUGUGCACUAGGGAGGGGGAGCACCUCUGUUCUCCCUCCCCAAGCGAAAGCGAUAAGUGCACCGCCUGGGGAGUAUGCUCGCAAGGGUAAAACUCAAAGGAAUUGACGGGGGCUCACACAAGCGGUGGAGCAUGUGGUUUAAUUCGAAGCAACGCGAAGAACCUUACCAGGGCUAGACAUCCAUCCAAACCCGAGGGAAACUUCGGAGUGGUUAACUCCCGGAUGGUGCAGGUGUUGCAUGGCUGUCGUCAGCUCGUGUCGUGAGAUGUCAGGUUAAGUCCUUAAACGAGCGAAACCCUUGUCAUUAGUUGCCAGCGGGUAAUGCCGGGGACUCUAAUGAGACUGCCGCGUAAGUCGGAGGAAGGUGGGGACGACGUCAAGUCAUCAUGGCCCUUAUGUCCUGGGCUACACACGUGCUACAAUGGCGGGUACAAAGGGUUGCCAACCCGUGAGGGGGAGCUAAUCCCAAAAAGCCCGUCCCAGUUCGGAUUGGAGUCUGCAACUCGACUCCAUGAAGGUGGAAUCGCUAGUAAUCGCGGGUCAGCCAUACCGCGGUGAAUAUGUUCUUGAGCCUUGUACACACCGCCCGUCAAGUCAUGGAAGCCGGUUUCGCCUAAAGUCGUUAGCCUAACCGUAAGGAGGGCGGCGCCUAGGGUGAGGUCGGUGACUGGGACUAAGUCGAAACAAGGUA
rnacentral:rRNA from 1 species